GCGCGAAAACUUUACAAUGCUGGCAACAGCGAUAAGGGAACCUCGAGUGCCAGGUUACAAAUCUGGCUGUCGAGAUGCCUAAAAAGCAUUUCAUAGCAAGGGCCGGGCAAGACCGGUGCCAGCCGCCGCGGUGACACCGGCGGCUCGAGUGGUAACCGUUAUUAUUGGGUCUAAAGGGUCUGUAGCCGGCCGGAUAAGUCUCUUGAGAAAUCUGGCAGCUUAACUGUCAGGCUUUCAGGAGAUACUGUCUGGCUCGAGGCCGGGAGAGGUGAGGGGUACUUCAGGGGUAGGGGUGAAAUCUUGUAAUCCUUGAAGGACCACCAGUGGCGAAGGCGGCUCACCAGAACGGACCUGACGGCAAGGGACGAAAGCUAGGGGCACGAACCG
rnacentral:rRNA from 1 species